GAUGAACGCUGGCGGCGUGCCUAAUACAUGCAAGUCGAGCGAACGGACGAGAAGCUUGCUUUUCUGAUGUUAGCGGCGGACGGGUGAGUAACACGUGGAUAACCUACCUAUGAGACUGGGAUAACUUCGGGAAACCGGAGCUAAUACCGGAUAAUAUUUUGAACCGCAUGGUUCAAAAGUGAAAGACGGUCUUGCUGUCACUUAUAGAUGGAUCCGCGCUGCAUUAGCUAGUUGGUAAGGUAACGGCUUACCAAGGCAACGAUGCAUAGCCGACCUGAGAGGGUGAUCGGCCACACUGGAACUGAGACACGGUCCAGACUCCUACGGGAGGCAGCAGUAGGGAAUCUUCCGCAAUGGGCGAAAGCCUGACGGAGCAACGCCGCGUGAGUGAUGAAGGUCUUCGGAUCGUAAAACUCUGUUAUUAGGGAAGAACAUAUGUGUAAGUAACUGUGCACAUCUUGACGGUACCUAAUCAGAAAGCCACGGCUAACUACGUG
rnacentral:rRNA from 1 species